CAGACGAGAGGUCAGUUGUUAGAUGCAUGCAGGUCAAUGUGCCCACAGCACACCAGGGCCAUUCCUUUUCUUCCUAGUUUGCCGGUGUCCUUGUCUAUCAUCCAGCAAGCUUGUCUCAGCCAAGGGCCGAUGUGAGUUGGAGUUUUGCUCCCUCGGAGGCACCCCUUUGAGGCGAGGGACCAGCAGAGCAUCAACAGCAGCAGCGAGGUGGCACUUCUGAGCCCAGGUCUCCCUCUAGUGACCAGUCCGGGGACAACAGCGAGAGGCUCCUGCUCACUCUUCGGAGUGAAUGCCCCUUCCAGAACCUGCUUUCCAAAAAUGCUAUCUGAUCCUGUGGUGCUUGGCUUAGAAACCUCAAAAACGAAGCAAAAUUUCUCAAGCUCCACGGCCCCCGCGUUGGUCUUCGAGGGAAAAGCAAAGCCCACGCCUCUGUCGGGCGGACGAGGUCCUUCCCAACGCAGUCCUAGGUUGAAGUGAUGCUGCUGCUAUAAGAUCCAGGUCAAGAACCAUCCAGAUUCACCCAAACAGAAUUCUCCAGCUUCCGUCAGGGAGGGUUAAGAAGAGGGAAACUUUGGUUCCAGAAGAUUCCUGAGGUCCUUAUACCAACUGGCCAUAAAAGAAUUCAGCUUAGGAUGGUGCAGCUUUCAUACAUGGUUCUUGCCCAGAGGAGCUCACAGGCUGUGGGAAUAGUCCUCCCCCCGCCAGGGCAGGAGGCAAAUUUCUCCGCAAACAGAAAAAUGCCAGGCUGUGUAAAGCAGGACUCAUGCUCCAACGGCUGACUCACAUCACCAAACCCCAAGAGACCUAAGCCUAAAGCCAGAAAAGCAGUUUAAUCAUUUUCUAAUAAGAAGUAGUCCCUGUAAACGGGUUGAUAGGCUACUUGUGUUUGCUGACCAGCAGUUUCUCUCCCUGUGAGCUUAUGAUUACAAAUGAAAAUAAAAAUAGAAAAAUGGUCACGAUAACAGUUCCAUUUACUCUGUUGAGUGCCUACUGCAUGCGAGGUACUGCGCUGAGCAUUUUAUCUUCAUCUUCUUAAAUUAGUCUCUCUACAACACUAUACAGCAUCACCAACUCAAUGGACAUGAGUUUGAGUAAGCUCCGGGAGUUGGUGAUGGACAGGGAGGCCUGGCGUGCUACAGUCCAUGGGGUCACAAAAGAGUCGGACACGACUAGGCGACUGAACUGAACUGAACAACACUGUACAGUGGGUACUAUUUUUAUCCCCACUUUGCAACAGGGUUCAUAAAUGUUUACAGCAAAUAAGUAGUGGACCCACGAUUCAAACCCAGUUCUUCGUGUUCCUGAGGCCCAGGCUCUGAAUUUCCCACCCACCUGGCCUCUCCUCCCCUUCUGGG